UACGAGGGAUCCUAGCGUUGUCCGGAUUUACUGGGUUUAAAGGGAGCGUAGGCGGACUUUUAAGUCAGUGGUGAAAGCCUGCAGCUUAACUGUAGAAUUGCCAUUGAAACUGAUUGUCUCGAGUGCGGUUGAGGUCACUGGAAUGUAUCAUGUAGCGGUGAAAUGCUUAGAUAUGAUACAGAACACCAAUUGCGAAGGCAGGUGACUAAGCCGUAACUG
rnacentral:rRNA from 1 species